rnacentral:rRNA from 1 species
UACGUAGGUGGCGAGCGUUGUCCGGAUUUACUGGGCGUAAAUGGAGCGUAGGCGGACUUUUAAGUGAGAUGUGAAAUACCCGGGCUCAACUUGGGUGCUGCAUUUCAGACUGGAAGUCUAGAGUGCAGGAGAGGAGAAUGGAAUUCCUAGUGUAGCGGUGAAAUGCAUAGAGAUUAGGAAGAACACCAGUGGCGAAGGCGAUUCUCUGGACUGUAACUGACGCUGAGGCUCGAAAGCGUGGGGAGCAAACAGGAUUA